rnacentral:rRNA from 1 species
GAGCCUACGGGACGCAGCAGUGAGGAAUAUUGGUCAAUGGGCGCGAGCCUGAACCAGCCAAGCCGCGUGAGGGAGGACGGCCCUACGGGUUGUAAACCUCUUUUGCCGGGGAGCAACGGGCGUCACGUGUGGCGCCACUGAGAGUACCCGGAGAAAAAGCAUCGGCUAACUCCGUGCCAGCAGCCGCGGUAAUACGGAGGAUGCGAGCGUUAUCCGGAUUUAUUGGGUUUAAAGGGAGCGCAGGCGGCGUGGCAAGUCAGAUGUGAAAACCCGGGGCCCACCCCCGGGAGUGCAUUUGAAACUGC